rnacentral:rRNA from 1 species
UACGUAGGUGGCAAGCGUUGUCCGGAUUUACUGGGCGUAAAGAGCGCGCAGGCGGUCGUUCAAGUCGCGUGUGAAAGCCCCCGGCUCAACUGGGGAGGGUCACGCGAUACUGAUCGACUCGAAGGCAGGAGAGGGAAGUGGAAUUCCCGGUGUAGUGGUGAAAUGCGUAGAUAUCGGGAGGAACACCAGUGGCGAAGGCGACUUCCUGGCCUGUUCUUGACGCUGAGGCACGAAAGCGUGGGGAGCAAAAGGG